rnacentral:rRNA from 1 species
CUACGGGGGGCUCCAGUGAGGAAUAUUGGGCAAUGGACGCAAGUCUGACCCAGCCAUGCCGCGUGCAGGAUGACGGCCCUAUGGGUUGUAAACUGCUUUUAUACAGGAAGAAACCCUCUGACGUGUCAGAGGUUGACGGUACUGUAUGAAUAAGCAUCGGCUAACUCCGUGCCAGCAGCCGCGGUAAUACGGAGGAUGCAAGCGUUAUCCGGAUUUAUUGGGUUUAAAGGGUGCGUAGGCGGGGCAAUUAGUCAGUGGUGAAAUCCUGCGGCUUAACCGUAGAACUGCCAUUGGUACUGUUGUCCUUGAGUAUAGUUGAGGUGGGCGGAAUGUGUAAUGUAGCGGUGAAAUGCAUAGAUAUUACACAGAACACCAAUUGCGAAGGCAGCUCACUAAGCUAUAACUGACGCUAAGGCACGAAAGCGUGGGGAGCGAACAGGAUUAGAUACCCGAGUAGUC